AUAACCUCAAAACUGUGUGCUAUUGUGAUGACUUUUGUUACUUUGUGGUGAUAGUGUUUAUGAAAGCCAGUUGAAAUAAAAGUGUGAAAAAUGGGAAAAAAAUAAAAGUAGUGUUUGGAAAGUGUACAACGAAAGAGGUGAUAAAACUGUAGACUGCAAGUAUUGUGGAAAACAUUAUAAAUUUGCAAAUGUCACAAAAAUGUCUGAGCAUAUUGUCAAAUGCCCAGUGGACUUAAAAAACAGUAUUUUAAGAGUUGGGAGGAUCACAUCUCCAGUUAUAAAUGUCACAAACAAUUUAGAGACUGCUUCUGUGCCUUCAUCCAUGCAAUCAAACUCAGAUGUAGGCCUAAUUACUGCAACAUUGCCAGCAACAUCAUAUCUACACCUACCUGCUGUCAGUAGUAUUAGUACAAUACCUAUUUGGAAUGCUAAAGCUAAACAAAAACAACAGGCAAUGGGAAUGUAAGGUUAUCUGAAGUCCCAGCAUGCUCUUCCUCUAUGCAAGUAGUACCUACAUGCAGAGAAUCGAAGGUACUGUCAGUUUUAUUUACUGACUCCGAAGCAUGUGAAGAAGUUACCUACGUUGAGUCAGAUAACGAAACUUCUGAAGAUGAAUAAAUUGCUUCAAACUAUUAUAGUGCACUAUAUUUGACAUUUCUGCAAGUUGCAAAGAAAUUACUACCUAUAUUAUAAUUGUUCAUCUCUGUAGUAGACCGGCCGACGAUUGAUGCGCGGCUCCUGCGCAUGCUGCCCCGGACGGUGGUCUCUCUCCGCCAGGGGAAGGCAGUCCUUGCUACGUUCCUCUCGAGCAAGGGCGCGUCUCGCAGCCACGGCAACCAAGCUUUUCUGCAGCAAUACCCGCGCGCGCUUAUCGCAGCCGAGCGGAAGCGGAUGCGCCCGGA